AUUGAACGCUGGCGGCAGGCCUAACACAUGCAAGUCGAACGAGGGGCGGACGGGUGAGUAAUGUCUGGGAAACGGCCCGAUGGAGGGGGAUAACUACUGGAAACGGUAGCUAAUACCGCAUACCAUCGGAUGUGCCCAGAUGGGAUUAGCGAGUAGGUGGGGUAAAGGCUAACCUAGGCGACGACCCCGAGCUGGUUGGAGAGGAUGACCGGCCACCCGGGGACUGGAAAACGGUCCAGACCCCUAGGGGAGGCAGCAGUGGGGAAUUUGGGGCAAUGGGAGCAAGCCUGAUGCAGCCAUGCCGCUGAUAUGAAGAAGGCUUUCGGUUUUUAAAGUCCUUUGAUCGGGGAGGCGUUACCCACAGAGGAAGCACCGGCUAACUCCGUGCCAGCAGCCGCGGUAAUUC
rnacentral:rRNA from 1 species